rnacentral:rRNA from 1 species
AUGUGGGCUUUCCACCUCUCGCAGCGGCCCGCGGCCCGCCGGUACUCCUCCAGAUCCGAUCCGAUCCAGGACGAGCGCGCACGUCACGUGGCAACCCCACACCCCCGCAUCACCUCCUCUCGUCCCCCCACCGCGUCUCGUCCUCCUCCUCCACCCCCGACCCGGCGACCAACCCCGCGAUCCGGCGAGCCCGAGAUGGGGUUCCUGGCGACCUCCGCCAUCUUCUUCCUCGCCGGCUUCAUCGCAUGCCUCUUCUCGCUCCUCUGCUGCAACCGCGGCGCCUCCACCAACAUAUUCCAUUUGACCCUGGUCAUUACCGCUACAGUUUGUUGUUGGAUGAUGUGGGCAAUCGUGUACCUCGCCCAGAUGAAGCCUUUGAUCAACCCCAUCCUGAGCGGCGAGUGA